CCUACGGGAGGCAGCAGUGAGGAAUAUUCGUCAAUGGACGAGAGUCUGAACCAGCCAAGUAGCGUGAAGGAUGACUGCCCUAUGGGUUGUAAACUUCGUUUAUAAAGGAAUAAAACGAGGCACGUGUGCCUUUUUGCAUGUACUUUAUGAAUAAGGAUCGGCUAACUCCGUGCCAGCAGCCGCGGUAAUGCGGAGGAUCCGAGCGUUAUCCGGAUUUAUUGGGUUGAAAGGGAGCGUAGAUGGGUUGUUAAGUCAGUUGUGAAAGUUUGCGGGUCAACCGUAAGAUUGCAAUUGAUACUGGGCGUCUAGAGUACAGUUGAGGUAGGCGGAAUUCGUGGUGUAGCGGUGAAAUGCUUAGAUAUAACGAAGAACACCGAUUGCGAAGGCAGCUUACUAACCUGCCACUGACAUUGAUGCCCGAAAGUGUGGGUAUCAAAUAGGAUUAGAUACCCCAGUAGUC
rnacentral:rRNA from 1 species